rnacentral:rRNA from 1 species
UACGUAGGGUGCAAGCGUUGUUCGGAUUUAUUGGGCGUAAAGCGCGUGUAGGCGGUUUCUUAAGUCUGAUGUGAAAGCCCUGGGCUCAACCCAGGAAGUGCAUUGGAUACUGGGAAACUUGAAUCCGGGAGAGGGUAGUGGAAUUCCUAGUGUAGGAGUGAAAUGCGUAGAUAUUAGGAGGAACACCGGUGGCGAAGGCGGCUGCCUGGACCGAUAUUGACGCUGAGACGCGAAAGCGUGGGGAGCAAACAGG